AUAGUUUGCAGCGGAACCUUCCUUAUAUAGAAGCUAAAUUAGCUUUACCUUGGCUGGUGGCUUGCAAUCCCAUUCCCCUUUGUCCUCCUUCUCACUUGAAGCAUUUUACUUUUCUUCGCUUCACCAGUUUCCCUUUUCUAUUUUUCUUCUUCUUCUUCUUUUUUCUUUUUCAUUAUAUAAUAUAUUUGCUAUUUGCUAAGUACUCUCAAAGUCACUGCAGAAUCUUUCAAUUCAAAACCCUCUUCUUUGGUUCAUCUUUAAGUUUCACCAUCUUCAAUAAUAUUAGUGACUUGCUGAAAUAAUAUUAAUUGAGUUUCGUCUUUAAGUUUCACCAUCUUCCCUAACUAAAAUCAUUAAAUAUUUUACAGAAAUUAGUUCAAAUAUUUAUAUUUUUUUCGAUUCUACUAAAUUUCUUCUCUACUUCUUUCAAAAAACUUCAUAAUUUAGAUUUUAGCACUGAGAAAAAUAUGAAAGUAAUUUUAUAGGAACCAAUAAGAAUAUGGAUGUUUAAUAUAUUACUAAACUCUAUAGAAAUGUGAGCAAUUUUUCAAAUCAUGCAAAAAUGAAAAAA
rnacentral:lncRNA from 1 species